UACGAAGGGGGCUAGCGUUGCUCGGAAUUACUGGGCGUAAAGCGCACGUAGGCGGCUUCUUAAGUCGGUGGUGAAAUCCUGGAGCUCAACUCCAGAACUGCCUUCGAUACUGGGAAGCUCGAGUCCGGGAGAGGUGAAUGGAACUGCGAGUGUAGAGGUGAAAUUCGUAGAUAUUCGCAAGAACACCAGUGGCGAAGGCGGCUCACUGGCCCGGUACUGACGCUGAGGUGCGAAAGCGUGGGGAGCAAACAGG
rnacentral:rRNA from 1 species